rnacentral:lncRNA from 1 species
CUCUUAUCCAAGAGGGAUAUGGUCCAACACUGCUAGUGGGUGCCUGAAAUCAUGGAUUGUAGGAACCCAAUCAAACACAGUUCUGUUCACAUCCACCCACAAAUUUAAUACCUUUUCCAUCCUAACUAAGCGCUUGUCAUGCACUGUGGCCAUAAUUUUGCAGUUUAAAGGGCAACAGCAAAACUAGCACACAUUUUUUUUUUCCUCUCCACAAUUUAACAGAUAGGUCUGUUUUUACUGUAGGUUUUAGCAACUUCAGCAUACAAUUCUUUUUUUCUUAUUAAGUUGAGAACCUCCUCCUUUUCAUGUAAAGAAGACUAUGGUUUCUUUUUGGUAUAUCCAAAUUGCCUUGCAUCACUACUCUUGUGGUUAGGACCUUUAUGAAGUAACAUAAGGGUCCCUUGAACACAAGCACUCUGCUAUCAUGACAACAGAUCUGUUAACCAAGAAAUCUACUAAGUAAAUCACAGGCAGGGAGGGUAGAUAGCAUGAAGACGCUGGACAAAGAGAGGAUUAACCUCCUGGGUAAGAUGGGGAGGGAGGGCACACAGUUUAAAACGUAUGAAUUGUUUAUGUCGGAAUUUUCCAUUUAAUAUUUUCAGACCACGGUUGACCACAGGUAACUGAAACCACAGGAAUGAGAUGACAGGGAUACUGAGGGGCUACUUGUGAGAUGGCAAAAAAGAGAUAUGGCAACCAGAAUUUCCCUCAGUCGCCCCUGACAAGUUCUCCUACAUCUUCACACAAAGAGAAGUCUGGCCUAGGAGGUGGAGGAUGCAGCGCACCAAGAUCGCACCACUGUACUCCAGGAUGGGCACCAGAGUGAGACCUUGUCUCAAAAAAAAAAAAAAAAAAAAAAUGGUCCCCAGUGUGGGAGAUGGGGCCUGGUGGAAGGUGUGUGGGUCGGGUCAUGAGAGUGGAUCCUUCAUGAGGUGCUUGGUGCAGUCUUCACUGUAAUGAGUCAGUUCAUACAAGAUCUGGUUGUUUAGAAGAGUGUGACACCCUUCCCAUCUCUCUCUUGCUCCCUCUCUUGCCACGUGGCACAUCUGCUCCUCCUUUGCCUUCUGCCAUGAUUGGAAGCUUCCUAAAACCCUCACCAGAAGCAGAUGCCAGCACCAUGCUUCUUGUAGAGCCUGCAGAACCAUAAGCCAAAUAAACCUCUUUUCUUUAUAAAUUACCCAGCCUCAAGUAUUCCUUUAUAGCCAUGCAAAACUGAGACAACACACAUAUAAAAAGUUCAUCCCCCAAACAUUUAGGUGUUCCUCAUCCUAAAGGACCUCAGUUAUGGUGUCAUCACCUUGUUGGCCAAGUGAAAAGUUUGGAGAUGUUUGAUCACCUCACGGGUAGUUCAGAUGUCAUGAGGGCAUGGAGUUUCCAUUGGGAACAAAGGGAAGAGAAGGUGUUUUGGAAGAAAGAGGUUAAUUCUCAGCCUGGAGCAUGUGAGGAAAGGCAGGAGAUAGGGACGGAGGUGCAGGUUUUGCGCAGGCAGGGUCAAGUGUAAGGAUCCAAACUAGGGCAGAGGCUAGAAAAUGAGUGAAGGGGGUGGGAGGAGAAAAAGGAGCUCCAGACUCUCUCUUGUCCUUGCCAGUAACUGGUAAUGAGUGGGUCCCCCUCCUUCACUGGGGAAUACCCCUUGGCAGGACAUUCCUCCAACCCCCUAGACGAGAAACGUUCCUAUUUUCUUUUCUCCUCAGCUUCCAGUGAGAAUGUUUCCAGAUGGGAACACCGUAAUGCAUGGGAUUAUUUCACAGACAGGACAAGGUUGUACCAGACAGGCUGGGGUCAGGAGGUGUCAUGAUCCCAUCUCACAGAAAACACACUCCAAUAAGCAACCAAAGAAGUAAUUUGAAUUAAUUCAUAGUUUUAUCCAGUCCCUCUAAAACAGUUCAAAAUGGGACUGGGGAAGAGAAAGUGCAUUUUCAUGUCAUAGAAAAGCAGCAAAACGUUGUACAAAUUCAUUCUCCCUUAACUUCACCACUUUUUGUAUCCACCACUCCUGUAUCUUCUGAAGCUUUCUCUCAUUUUUCAACUCCCAACCUUAAUUCCCAUUCUCUUCCCAAUAUAAAUAUACUAGCUUCUCCAGGUCACCCCCAGUUAUUUACUUACACCAAACUUCAUAAUAAGGUCUAGGUGAAUGUGUGAUUGCGUGGCGGGAGGACAUUUUGAUUUGUCUUCUGUCUUCCCCCGCCAGAGUGUAAACUCGUUGGUGGGUUAGAGACUUCACUCCCUUCUGCCUGGAGCAACACCUGGCUUGUACUGAGUACUCAGUGACAUUCAUUAAUCAAUGAAUAUGCUUAUAUUUUGUAUCCAUGUUCCCUAAGGGGUAAUUACAUUGUUUGUAGCUGCACUUACCAACCUUAUACUGGGAAUUACUCUGUAUAUUAAAAGGCAAAGCAUUGAAUAGUGAGAGAAAUUUGUUUUCUUCUGUCUCCAUUUAAUGAUU